AACUGAUUCUUUUUGGGA
rnacentral:miRNA from 1 species